GAUGAACGCUGGCGGCGUGCCUAAUACAUGCAAGUCGAGCGAACGGACGAGAAGCUUGCUUCUCUGAUGUUAGCGGCGGACGGGUGAGUAACACGUGGAUAACCUACCUAUAAGACUGGUAUAACUUCGGGAAACCGGAGCUAAUACCGGAUAAUAUUUUGAACCGCAUGGUUCAAAAGUGAAAGACGGUCUUGCUGUCACUUAUAGAUGGAUCCGCGCUGCAUUAGCUAGUUGGUAAGGUAACGGCUUACCAAGGCAACGAUGCAUAGCCGACCUGAGAGGGUGAUCGGCCACACUGGAACUGAGACACGGUCAAGACUCCUACGGGAGGCAGCAGUAGGGAAUCUUCCGCAAUGGGCGAAAGCCUGACGGAGCAACGCCGCGUGAGUGAUGACGGUCUUCGGAUCGUAAAACCCUGUUAUUAGGGAAGAACAUAUGUGUAAGUAACUGUGCACAUCUUGACGGUACCUAAUCAGAAAGCCACGGCUAACUACGUG
rnacentral:rRNA from 1 species